rnacentral:rRNA from 1 species
UGACGUGCUUGCACUGAAUGAGAUUUUAACACGAAGUGAGUGGCGGACGGGUGAGUAACACGUGGGUAACCUGCCCAGAAGCAGGGGAUAACACCUGGAAACAGAUGCUAAUACCGUAUAACAGAGAAAACCGCCUGGUUUUCUUUUAAAAGAUGGCUCUGCUAUCACUUCUGGAUGGACCCGCGGCGCAUUAGCUAGUUGGUGAGGUAACGGCUCACCAAGGCGAUGAUGCGUAGCCGACCUGAGAGGGUAAUCGGCCACAUUGGGACUGAGACACGGCCCAGACUCCUACGGGAGGCAGCAGUAGGGAAUCUUCCACAAUGGACGCAAGUCUGAUGGAGCAACGCCGCGUGAGUGAAGAAGGGUUUCGGCUCGUAAAGCUCUGUUGUUAAAGAAGAACGUGGGUGAGAGUAACUGUUCACCCAGUGACGGUAUUUAACCAGAAAGCCACGGCUAACUACGUGCCAGCAGCCGCGGUAAUACGUAGGUGGCAAGCGUUAUCCGGAUUUAUUGGGCGUAAAGCGAGCGCAGGCGGUCUUUUAAGUCUAAUGUGAAAGCCUUCGGCUCAACCGAAGAAGUGCAUUGGAAACUGGGAGACUUGAGUGCAGAAGAGGACAGUGGAACUCCAUGUGUAGCGGUGAAAUGCGUAGAUAUAUGGAAGAACACCAGUGGCGAAGGCGGCUGUCUGGUCUGUAACUGACGCUGAGGCUCGAAAGCAUGGGUAGCGAACAGGAUUAGAUACCCUGGUAGUCCAUGCCGUAAACGAUGAUUACUAAGUGUUGGAGGGUUUCCGCCCUUCAGUGCUGCAGCUAACGCAUUAAGUAAUCCGCCUGGGGAGUACGACCGCAAGGUUGAAACUCAAAAGAAUUGACGGGGGCCCGCACAAGCGGUGGAGCAUGUGGUUUAAUUCGAAGCUACGCGAAGAACCUUACCAGGUCUUGACAUCUUCUGCCAACCUAAGAGAUUAGGCGUUCCCUUCGGGGACAGAAUGACAGGUGGUGCAUGGUUGUCGUCAGCUCGUGUCGUGAGAUGUUGGGUUAAGUCCCGCAACGAGCGCAACCCUUAUUACUAGUUGCCAGCAUUCAGUUGGGCACUCUAGUGAGACUGCCGGUGACAAACCGGAGGAAGGUGGGGACGACGUCAAAUCAUCAUGCCCCUUAUGACCUGGGCUACACACGUGCUACAAUGGAUGGUACAACGAGUUGCGAAACCGCGAGGUUUAGCUAAUCUCUUAAAACCAUUCUCAGUUCGGACUGUAGGCUGCAACUCGCCUACACGAAGUCGGAAUCGCUAGUAAUCGCGGAUCAGCAUGCCGC